rnacentral:rRNA from 1 species
UGGCGGACGGGUGAGUAACGCGUGGGCAACCUGCCUUACACAGGGGGAUAACAGCUAGAAAUGGCUGCUAAUACCGCAUAAGACCUCAGUACCGCAUGGUAGAGGGGUAAAAACUCCGGUGGUGUAAGAUGGGCCCGCGUCUGAUUAGGUAGUUGGUAGGGUAACGGCCUACCAAGCCGACGAUCAGUAGCCGACCUGAGAGGGUGACCGGCCACAUUGGGACUGAGACACGGCCCAA